rnacentral:rRNA from 1 species
CUUUACUAUAGCUUGACACUGAACAUUGAGCCUUGAUGUGUAGGAUAGGUGGGAGGCUUUGAAGUGUGGACGCCAGUCUGCAUGGAGCCGACCUUGAAAUACCACCCUUUAAUGUUUGAUGUUCUAACGUUGACCCGUAAUCCGGGUUGCGGACAGUGUCUGGUGGGUAGUUUGACUGGGGCGGUCUCCUCCUAAAGAGUAACGGAGGAGCACGAAGGUUGGCUAAUCCUGGUCGGACAUCAGGAGGUUAGUGCAAUGGCAUAAGCCAGCUUGACUGCGAGCGUGACGGCGCGAGCAGGUGCGAAAGCAGGUCAUAGUGAUCCGGUGGUUCUGAAUGGAAGGGCCAUCGCUCAACGGAUAAAAGGUACUCCGGGGAUAACAGGCUGAUACCGCCCAAGAGUUCAUAUCGACGGCGGUGUUUGGCACCUCGAUGUCGGCUCAUCACAUCCUGGGGCUGAAGUAGGUCCCAAGGGUAUGGCUGUUCGCCAUUUAAAGUGGUACGCGAGCUGGGUUUAGAACGUCGUGAGACAGUUCGGUCCCUAUCUGCCGUGGGCGCUGGAGAACUGAGGGGGGCUGCUCCUAGUACGAGAGGACCGGAGUGGACGCAUCACUGGUGUUCGGGUUGUCAUGCCAAUGGCACUGCCCGGUAGCUAAAUGCGGAAGAGAUAAGUGCUGAAAGCAUCUAAGCACGAAACUUGCCCCGAGAUGAGUUCUCCCUGACUCCUUGAGAGUCCUGAAGGAACGUUGAAGACGACGACGUUGAUAGGCCGGGUGUGUAAGCGCAGCGAUGCGUUGAGCUAACCGGUACUAA